rnacentral:lncRNA from 1 species
UCUUUAAAGUGUUAGCUGAACUGUUCCCUAUUCUUCCCUUCUAAACACAAGAGCGUGUGGGUUGGUUCCACUGGUGAAGAAUCCAGCCCAUCAGCAAAGGGCCGCCGAGCCUCUAUUGUGAGUCAAGAUAAGGACUAUCUUCUUCCCUCCCUCUUGGUGUUCUCCACUGGCUAAACCUGUCAUUGCAAGCUAUGCAUAUGAACAACGUGUCCUGCCACAUAGGAAUAUGGCUGAUAUGUGAAAACAUGAUGCAUCUUAUUGAGUGGGGAAAAGAAGUGGUCUUCUACACCAGAGUCUCUUUAGAUUGGCCACUAAGCGGUUAAAUUAAUUGCCCAGAUCUGAGGAAGCCUGUUCCAAAAGAAGGCAUUGACUGGAAUAAGGUUUUGCUACAGACACAAGCUGAUGUGCUUGCAGCAAAGAUUGC